rnacentral:rRNA from 1 species
CAGUAGCCGCGGGAAUACGAAGGGGGCUAGCGUUGCUCGGAAUUACUGGGCGUAAAGGGAGCGUAGGCGGACUGUUUAGUCAGAGGUGAAAGCCCAGGGCUCAACCUUGGAAUUGCCUUUGAUACUGGCAGUCUUGAGUACGGAAGAGGUAUGUGGAACUCCGAGUGUAGAGGUGAAAUUCGUAGAUAUUCGGGAGAACACCAGUGGCGAAGGCGACAUACUGGUCCGUUACUGACGCUGAGGCUCGAAAGUGUGGGGAGCAAACAGGAUUAGAUACCCCAGUAGUCCCUGUCUCUUAUAA